rnacentral:lncRNA from 10 species
CUCUUACUUUCCAUCUUUGUUCUUUAUUACUGCAUCCUGGGAGAAUCCUAGUUGCCUAAUACUAAAAAAAGACUGGUGAAGAUUAAAAACAAAUUUGGAGCAUGGGGAGCCUUAUAAUACUUAUUUAUUAGAGCACGUAGCCUAAAACCAUUGCUAUAGUUGGUACAGAAUAAAUACUGGAUAAUUAAUUAAAUGAACUGUGGAAUAUUUAACUUCUUGGUAUUUUUUUAUGAUACAACUUUAAUCUCAAAUUUUGUUCAUUCUGUUUUGUUUUAUGGAUACAUUUUGACAGAUUAUUUCAAACUAUUAAAUAAAAGUCUUGAAAAUUCCUCAGACUCAUUCUUAAAAUUGGUAAUACGAGUUCUCACUGAGUUUUUGUUGUUGUUGUUAUUGUGUUCUUGGAUUAAUAUGGGAAAAUAUUAUUAUAACAUGUUACUUUUUUCCUUUUCUUACUCCCUGUCUUUUUAAUGAUGAAUAAAAGUAAAAAGAAAAAAUGCUGUCUAGGAAUUUUCAUUAUUGAUUCAAAUAAACCAUUUAGUUGAUACACCAUUUAAGGGCCUUUUUUUUUUUGAAUUUUAUAGACUGGUUCUCACUUUUGUUUCCCAGGCUAGAGUGCAGUAGCGUGAUCACAGCUCACUGCAGCCUCAACCUCCUGGGCUCAAGCAGUUUUCCCACCCCAGGCUCGUGAGUAGCUGGGACUAUAGGUGCAUGCCACCAUGCCCACCUAAUUAUUGUAUUUUUUGUAGAGAUGGAGUUUCACCAUGUUGCCCAGGCUGGUUUCUAACUCCUGAGCUCAAAUGAUCCACCUGCCUCAGCCUCCCAAAGUGCUGGGAUUAAAAGCAUGAGCCACCAUGCCCGGCCAAGAGCUGUUUACUUUAUCCCUCCUCCCCAAAUGUUAAUUAGCUUCGUAAUUGUUACUUAUGUAUUAUAUAUUACUUAUUGUAUUAUUAAUAUUUUAACUUGCUUGAUUUCUUUUAUGUGUAGUGUAUAAGAGUGUUGACAUUUGAGAAGUUCCCUGUGGAAAUCCAUUCUUUGAUAUUGUCUACGAUUUUACAAGUACUUUUUACUUGGUUUAGGAAGAUACAUUCCAGACUGUGUAUAUAUAGUAAACAUUUUCUUUUAAUGCCGAGUGCUCUUCAUUAGCUAUUUAAUUGUAACAGAUGGGUUUGAAGCGUUCUCCUAAAUGUAGUGUUUUAUUUUCCUUCUUUUAUUCACUGAUAUCUUUAUAUGAUAUUGUAAAUUAGUAUGUUAGAUAUAUUCCAGUACUUCUCAUAGUAGUUUAGCUAAUAUAAUAUUUUUCAUUGCAGAUAUGAUUAAGAGAACAUAUUGGUGUUUCUAAAAUGAGAAAGACAUUGAGAAGCUGGUCAAUUUAAAUUACUUUCUGUUAUUAUAUACUUACCUCUCAUU